rnacentral:rRNA from 1 species
UACGUAGGUGGCAAGCGUUGUCCGGAUUUACUGGGCGUAAAGAGCGCGCAGGCGGUUAUUCAAGUCGAAUGUGAAAGCCCCCGGCUUAAUUGGGGAGGGUCAUUCGAUACUGCUUAACUUGAAGGCAGGAGAGGGUAGUGGAAUUCCCGGUGUAGUGGUGAAAUGCGUAGAUAUCGGGAGGAACACCAGUGGCGAAGGCGACUACCUGGCCUGUUCUUGACGCUGAGGCGCGAAAGCUGGGGGAGCAAACGGGG